GAUGAACGCUAGCGGCAGGCCUAAUACAUGCAAGUCGAACGAGAUUAAGAGGCUUGCUUCUUAUGAAAGUGGCGCACGGGUGCGUAACGCGUAUGCAACCUACCUUAAUCAGGGGGAUAGCCCGAAGAAAUUCGGAUUAAGACCGCAUAAAAACACAGGAUAGCAUUAUCCAAUGUUCAAAUAUUUAUAGGAUUAAGAUGGGCAUGCGUGUCAUUAGCUAGUUGGCGGGGUAACGGCCCACCAAGGCGACGAUGACUAGGGGAUCUGAGAGGAUGACCCCCCACAAUGGAACUGAGGCACGGACAAGACUCCUACGGGAGGCAGCAGUAAGGAACAUUGGUCAAUGGAGGGAAACCUGACCCAGCCAGGCCGCGUGCAGGAAGCCAGCCCUCGGGGUCGUAAGCUGCUUUUAGUCGGGAAUAAACCUUUAUACGUGUAGGAAGCUGAAUGUACCGAAGGAAUAAGGAUCGGCUAACUCCGUG
rnacentral:rRNA from 1 species